rnacentral:rRNA from 1 species
UGAGGAAUAUUGGACAAUGGGCGCAAGCCUGAUCCAGCCAUGCCGCGUGCAGGAAGAAGCAUCUAUGGUGUGUAAACUGCUUUUGUACGGGAAGAAACACUCCUUCGUGAAGGAGCUUGACGGUACCGUAAGAAUAAGGAUCGGCUAACUCCGUGCCAGCAGCCGCGGUAAUACGGAGGAUCCAAGCGUUAUCCGGAAUCAUUAGGUUUAAAGGGUCCGUAGGCGGUUUAGUAAGUCAGUGGUGAAAGCCCAUCGCUCAACGAUGGAACGGCCAUGGAUACUGCUAGACUUGAAUUACAAGGAAGUAACUAGAAUAUGUAGUGUAGCGGUGAAAUGCUUAGAUAUUACAUGGAAUACCAAUUGCGAAGGCAGGUUACUACUUGUGGAUUGACGCUGAUGGACGAAAGCGUGGGGAGCGAACA